UACAGAGGGGGCAAGCGUUGUUCGGAAUUACUGGGCGUAAAGGGCGCGUAGGCGGCCUGCUAAGUCGAUCGUGAAAUCCCCGGGCUUAACCCGGGAACUGCGACCGAUACUGGUUGGCUUGAAUUCGGGAGAGGGAUGCGGAAUUCCAGGUGUAGCGGUGAAAUGCGUAGAUAUCAGGAGGAACACCGGUGGCGAAGGCGGGUCUCUGGGCCGACACUGACGCUCAUGCACGAAAGCGUGGGGAGCAAACAGG
rnacentral:rRNA from 1 species